AUUGAACGCUGGCGGCAGGCCUAACACAUGCAAGUCGAGCGGAUGAAGGGAGCUUGCUCCUGGAUUCAGCGGCGGACGGGUGAGUAAUGCCUAGGAAUCUGCCUGGUAGUGGGGGAUAACGUCCGGAAACGGGCGCUAAUACCGCAUACGUCCUGAGGGAGAAAGUGGGGGAUCUUCGGACCUCACGCUAUCAGAUGAGCCUAGGUCGGAUUAGCUAGUUGGUGGGGUAAAGGCCUACCAAGGCGACGAUCCGUAACUGGUCUGAGAGGAUGAUCAGUCACCCUGGAACUUGGACACGGUCCAGACUCCUACGGGAGGCAGCAGUGGGGAAUGUUGGACAAUGGGCGAAAGCCUGAUCCAGCCAUGCCGCGUGUGUGAAGAAGGUCUUCGGAUUGUAAAGCACUUUAAGUUGGGAGGAAGGGCAGUAAGUUAAUACCUUGCUGUUUUGACGUUACCAACAGAAUAAGCACCGGCUAACUUCGUG
rnacentral:rRNA from 1 species